rnacentral:rRNA from 1 species
UGGGGAAUUUUCCGCAAUGGGCGCAAGCCUGACGGAGCAAUACCGCGUGAGGGAGGAAGGCUUUUGGGUUGUAAACCUCUUUUAUUAAGGAAGAAGAAAGUGACGGUACUUAAAGAAUCAGCAUCGGCUAACUCCGUGCCAGCAGCCGCGGUAAUACGGAGGAUGCAAGCGUUAUCCGGAAUUAUUGGGCGUAAAGCGUCCGCAGGUGGUUAUGCAAGUCUGCUGUUAAAGAGUGGAGCUUAACUCCAUAAGGGCAGUGGAAACUGCGUGACUAGAGUGCGUUCGGGGCAGAGGGAAUUCCUGGUGUAGCGGUGAAAUGCGUAGAUAUCAGGAAGAACACCGGUGGCGAAAGCGCUCUGCUAGGCCGCAACUGACACUGAGGGACGAAAGCUAAGGGAGCGAAUGGGAUUAGAUACCCCGGUAGUCC